AUUGAGCGCUGGCGGCAGGCCUAACACAUGCAAGUCGGACGGUAGCACAGAGAGCUUGCUCUCGGGUGACGAGUGGCGGACGGGUGAGUGAUGUCUGGGGAUCUGCCCGAUAGAGGGGGAUAACCACUGGAAACGGUGGCUAAUACCGCAUAACGUCGCAAGACCAAAGAGGGGGACCUUCGGGCCUCUCACUAUCGGAUGAACCCAGAUGGGAUUAGCUGGUAGGGGGGGUAAAGGCCCACCCAGGCGACGAUCCCUAGCUGGUCUGAGAGGAUGACCAGCCACACUGGAACUGGGACACGGUCCAGACUCCUACGGGAGGCAGCAGUGGGGAAUAUUGCACAAUGGGCGCAAGCCUGAUGCAGCCAUGCCGCGUGUAUGAAGAAGGCCUUCGGGUUGUAAAGUACUUUCAGCGGGGAGGAAGGCGAUGUGGUUAAUAACCGCGUCGAUUGACGUUACCCGCAGAAGAAGCACCGGCUAACUCCGUGCCAGCCGCCGCAGUAA
rnacentral:rRNA from 1 species